rnacentral:rRNA from 1 species
UGGGGAAUAUUGCACAAUGGGCGCAAGCCUGAUGCAGCCAUGCCGCGUGUGUGAAGAAGGCCUUCGGGUUGUAAAGCACUUUCAGCGGGGAGGAAGGCGUUAAGGUUAAUAACCUUGGCGAUUGACGUUACCCGCAGAAGAAGCACCGGCUAACUCCGUGCCAGCAGCCGCGGUAAUACGGAGGGUGCAAGCGUUAAUCGGAAUUACUGGGCGUAAAGCGCACGCAGGCGGUCUGUCAAGUCGGAUGUGAAAUCCCCGGGCUCAACCGGGGAGGGUCAUUGGAAACUGGGAGACUUGAGUGCAGAAGAGGAGAGUGGAAUUCCAUGUGUAGCGGUGAAAUGCGUAGAUAUAUGGAGGAACACCAGUGGCGAAGGCGGCUCUCUGGUCUGUAACUGACGCUGAGGCUCGAAAGCGUGGGGAGCAAACAGG